UCUAUUUUCGCCAUCUUAUAUGA
rnacentral:siRNA from 1 species